rnacentral:tRNA from 1 species
GAGGGUGUAGCUCAGUGGUAGAUUGUGUGCCUAGCAUGCACGAGGUCCUGGGUUCAAUCCCUAGUACCUCUG